rnacentral:rRNA from 1 species
GACGAACGCUGGCGGCGUGCUUAACACAUGCAAGUCGAACGGAAAGGCCCUGCUUGCGGGGUGCUCGAGUGGCGAACGGGUGAGUAACACGUGGGUGAUCUGCCCCUUAUUUUGGGAUAAGCCUGGGAAACUGGGUCUAAUACUGGAUAGGACCAUGCUGUAGGUGGUGUGGUGGAAAGAUUAGUUUCGGUAAGGGAUGAGCUCGCGGCCUAUCAGCUUGUUGGUGGGGUAAUGGCCUACCAAGGCGUCGACGGGUAGCCGGCCUGAGAGGGUGGACGGCCACAUUGGGACUGAGAUACGGCCCAGACUCCUACGGGAGGCAGCAGUGGGGAAUAUUGCACAAUGGGCGCAAGCCUGAUGCAGCGACGCCGCGUGGGGGAUGACGGCCUUCGGGUUGUAAACUCCUUUCAGCCAUGACGAAGCCCUUGUGGUGACGGUAGUGGUAGAAGAAGCACCGGCUAACUACGUG